UCUAGGGGUGGGUGCCUGGCAGCGCGCGAGCACAGUAGCAUCGUCGUGCAGUGAGCUCCUGCAGUGCACAUGCGCUGCCUGGAACCCGCCCCAGGGGUUUCCGUUGCGGACCAAAGCUGUGUGGAUCGGCAAGAGGUUCUUUCAACGGUAUCCUCAGUGGAAAUCGUGGCUAUGGCCUGACCAUGCCGGAAGCAGAGGUUGAAGAGUCAGGAGGACGACGCUGCAAAGAAAAAGGAGAGGCAAAAAGAAAGGCAGCAAAGGAAAAGGAAAAAAGGUGGCAAGUCGAAGAAAGGAAGCAAGGGAAAGGGCAAGAAGGGAGGCAAGGGGAAGAAAGAUAGUAAAUGCAAAAGGAAGAAAGGGAAGGAGGACAAAUCAGAAAAGAAAGGAAGCAAAGGCCAAAGUAAAAAGCGCGGCAAUAAAGGAAAAAAGGAGGGAAAAACAAGAAAAGUGGCAAAAAGGGCAGCAAGAAAUGGAAAAGGAGGAAGAAAGCUGCAGCUGAAUAAACCCCACCUCCAGCAGAAGAUAGUAAGCCAGAACCAAAAGCUCGAGCCGCACAGCCAUCCCCAGCAGCAUCACCAGCUCCUGCACCACCUGCAUCUGCGUCACGUGCAUCUGCGGCAACAGCAGAGGCACCUCCACAAAAAUCCACACCAGCACCAGGUCCUCCGGCGGGUGCUCGGCCUACGACCGCUGCUCCGCAAGCCAUGCGACCUAUGGCUCGAGGCAUACAAAGAUACCCAAUGGGAUACCAAGCGAUGUCUAUGUAUCCACAAAGCGUGGAGCAAGCCGUAGACUUCCAACCGUUAUCAGCCACAGAAGACACGUUAUCAGCCACAACCUUCGGGGCCAAGCGACCAUGCGUCGUAGUUGACGUCAAGUAUCAGAGCAGGCCCAGAUUCAAGAUCCCUUCCUAUAGAUCGUUUGAAACCAGUGCUGCACCGGAACAGUACUACAGACAAGGAACGUAUCCAUCGGGUGCGCGCUACUAACGCGACCCUGAAAGUACGACGACCUACUACGAUAUGACUACGGCCAACAAAAGUAUUUCAGUGAUUAGUAAAAUCGGAGGGAUGUCGCCGGUUCUUAUAUGCAGCGCCUGGCAUGAAUCAGAUGCAGCAGUUUGUUCAAGGCCUAGCAGACACACAGUAUCCCGACGUUUCUCCGACGAUACAAAUCCACAUGCAACCACCAGCACAGCCAGGAUACCAGGAGCCUCCAAAACCAAUCAUUAUUCACCACCAGCAGAUUUCACAACCGCCACAGGAACAACCUCGUCUCAUACGAUCAGCAUCUCAAGACCUCAGCGCGUCAGUCACCACGGCGAAAGCGACUAAAGCACAGAAAGCAUAAACGACGCCGGCGAAGACCAAGGCUAACGGCUGAUGUCGAGCCCCCCAAAACCCAUCAUAAUACACACCCAAACACAGCCACCACCCUUUUCACCACCGCGAGAUAUGUCACCAUUUAUGAUCAGCCCAACGCGGCAGAUGCUGGCACAAGGAUCCGAGACGCCCGCCAUUAUACAACAACUCAAGCUCAACAAGGGGAACUGCAAAUGCUCAAAGCAAACCAACAAGAUUCAAACCAAGGGAUUCAGCAGCAGCAGUUUCUGGACCAAUCACAAUUUUGGGAGCAACAAACGCCGUAUCCUCUUCAGUUGGCAAUGCGCUUCCUUGCUGGUGGACCAAAUAUAAUCAAGACUUAUAUUUAUAUAUAUUUAUUACAUAUUAUUCAUUAUUUAUUAAUAUUAUUUAUUUAUUAAUAUUUAUUGUUUAUUAAUAUUUAUUAUUUAUUAAUAUUAUUAUUUAUUAUCUAUUUAGUUAUAUUUUAUAUAUUUUUCAUUAAAGAGUAAUAUUACAUA